rnacentral:rRNA from 5 species
UUGGGAAGUCCUCGUGUUGCACCCCA